CGUAAUAUAAGAACCGUCUCUUAACUUUUAACUAAGAAAAACUAAGAGCCGAUUUUUAAAUAAGAUAUUUAAGAGUCUGUUCUUAGCUUUUCUUAGUUAAAAGUUAAGAGACGGUUCUUAUAUUAGG
rfam:Brassica napus, WGS project CCCW01000000 data, contig: 2433